rnacentral:rRNA from 1 species
ACAUCCAGGGAAUUUAGCAGAGAUGCUUUAGUGCCUUCGGGAACUCUGAGACAGGUGCUGCAUGGCUGUCGUCAGCUCGUGUUGUGAAAUGUUGGGUUAAGUCCCGCAACGAGCGCAACCCUUAUCCUUUGUUGCCAGCACGUAAUGGUGGGAACUCAAAGGAGACUGCCGGUGAUAAACCGGAGGAAGGUGGGGAUGACGUCAAGUCAUCAUGGCCCUUACGAGUAGGGCUACACACGUGCUACAAUGGCGCAUACAAAGAGAAGCGACCUCGCGAGAGCAAGCGGACCUCAUAAAGUGCGUCGUAGUCCGGAUUGGAGUCUGCAACUCGACUCCAUGAAGUCGGAAUCGCUAGUAAUCGUAAAUCAGAAUGUUACGGUGAAUACGUUCCCGGGCCUUGUACACACCGCCCGUCACACCAUGGGAGUGGGUUGCAAAAGAAGUAGAUAGCUUAACCUUCGGGAGGGCGUUUACCACUUUGUGAUUCAUGACUGGGGUGAAGUCGUAACAAGGUAAGCGUAGUGCU